CAAGCCAGCCGGUGGAUGGCUCGGCUCGGGCGCUGACGAAGGGCGCGGCAAGUGGCGAAAUGCCCGGGGUAGGCACACGCUGCCUUUGAACCCGGGAUUCCCGAAUGGGACCUCCUGCCCCUUUGGGGCGCACCCGACUCGACGAGA
rnacentral:rRNA from 1 species